rnacentral:rRNA from 1 species
CGGAGGGUGCAAGCGUUAUCCGGAUUUACUGGGUUUAAAGGGUGUGUAGGCGGGCUUUUAAGUCAGUGGUGAAAUCUCCGAGCUCAACUUGGAAACUGCCAUUGAUACUAUUAGUCUUGAAUUUUGUUGAGGUAGGCGGAAUAAGUCAUGUAGCGGUGAAAUGCAUAGAUAUGACUUAGAACACCAAUUGCGAAGGCAGCUUGCUAAACAAACAUUGACGCUGAGGCACGAAAGCGUGGGGAUCAAACAGGAUUAGAUACCCUGGUAGUCCACGCCCUAAACGAUGAUUACUCGACAUACGCGAUACACAGUGUGUGUCUGAGCGAAAGCAUUAAGUAAUCCACCUGGGAAGUACGACCGCAAGGUUG